rnacentral:rRNA from 1 species
UACGUAGGGUGCGAGGCGUUGUCCGGAAUUAUUGGGCGUAAAGAGCUCGUAGGCGGUCUGUCGCGUCUGCUGUGAAAACCCGAGGCUCAACCUCGGGCCUGCAGUGGGUACGGGCAGACUAGAGUGCGGUAGGGGAGAAUGGAAUUCCUGGUGUAGCGGUGGAAUGCGCAGAUAUCAGGAGGAACACCAAUGGCGAAGGCAGAUCUCUGGGCCGUAACUGACGCUGAGGAGCGAAAGCAUGGGGAGCGAACAGG